AUUGAACGCUGGCGGCAUGCUUUACACAUGCAAGUCGAACGGUAACAGGCCGCAAGGUGCUGACGAGUGGCGAACGGGUGAGUAAUGCAUCGGAACGUGCCCAGUCGUGGGGGAUAACGCAGCGAAAGCUGCGCUAAUACCGCAUACGAUCUAUGGAUGAAAGCGGGGGACCGUAAGGCCUCGCGCGAUUGGAGCGGCCGAUGUCAGAUUAGGUAGUUGGUGGGGUAAAGGCUCACCAAGCCAACGAUCUGUAGCUGGUCUGAGAGGACGACCAGCCACACUGGGACUGAGACACGGCCCAGACUCCUACGGGAGGCAGCAGUGGGGAAUUUUGGACAAUGGGCGCAAGCCUGAUCCAGCAAUGCCGCGUGCAGGAAGAAGGCCUUCGGGUUGUAAACUGCUUUUGUACGGAACGAAACGGUCCUGGUUAAUACCCGGGGCUAAUGACGGUACCGUAAGAAUAAGCACCGGCUAACUUCGUGCCAGCCGCCGCCGUAA
rnacentral:rRNA from 1 species